GAACUGAGCUGUGACCUGGAUGGGGGCCCAACAGGAAGGAAGGAGGCCAGCUGGGAGCCUACCACCAUAAUCAAGCCACUGCUCGAAGUCCCUUUGGAGCCGGGAGAAACCUUCAUGGCCGCCUUCGUCCUGGAGCGGAUUUGCCUGCGGAGCACACAGUGCCGUCAAGGCAUCAGAGGUGAAACAGCCCAUCGGCCCUGAACCCUGGGGGUUUCCACUGAGGCAGAAGGUGUGGAUGGGGACGCACAAAGGGAAGGAGAGAGGCCUGGGCGGGAGGAGGCAUGUCUCUCCAUUCAAUGUGGCCAUGUUAGGAGUUUAAUUCUGAUUCAGGUCCGGAGGUCCCACGGGGUUGGGGUGGCCCAGGGGUCUGCCUCGGCCAGUGCUCAGGGCGCCCUGGGUCCCCCAAGGCUGUGCCACAGGAUCUCGUGGAUGGGUGCCUGCGGGGCAUGUGGAUCACGGCACUUUCAGCCCCGAGCUGCUGGAGCUAUGACAGUGGGUCAUCGUGGCCACCUGCUGGUGUCCUAGCAGCAGCCGCCACCAUUCCUUACCAGGACGGCUGGAACAGUGGUCACCUGUGCACCACACCUGGCCCUCUCCGGGCUCUGUGGCCAGAGGGAAUGUCAAAAAUGCAGGGCUGUGGUCAGCGAGGCUGUGGGUGUGACCCUCUGAGGGCCCCAGGUCCCAGCUCUGCCAGGACCACCUUUCUGUGCGGACCACCUUUCCCCCACCCUAACCCCCCCACCAGUCACAGCGACCCCCGGCAGGUCAUUUGGGAAGGGACAGUACAAGAAUACAGGGGAGAAUGAGAGCUGGCAUUGGUUUCUGAAGAACCAAGAAGGAAUGUCUUUUUAAUGCAUUUCCUUGGCUGUCAAGAGAAGGGACAGAUAACGCAAGGUGGUUAGGUUAGAUCUCUCGAACAAAAUACAGCUUAGGGCACAAAGAGGGGCCCACCCUGCACGACUGCAGUUUGCAAUCGGGGACCAGCAGGAAGCCCUCAGCCCUGCGGGGCUGGCUGGCUAUCUCGUGUCUGAGGGGUGAGGACCUGUCCCCACAAGGGACGCCUCUGACCUUCCCUGGGGCCUGGGUCUGGGGUCUCUGGGUCCCUCAGUACCGUGGCACAAGGAGCUGGGGCAGGGGCAUCCAGGAUGGGACCCAGCCAAGUCCUGAGCCGAGCACGUGGCUGAAGACCAUCCCCCAUCCCUGACACUGGCCCUGGCCACCCCGCCCCGGGGAGCCCCGCGAGUCAGACGCACCUGACGGCGACGCCUGGAAACAGGAUCCACGGGAUCGAUGAGAAACCCGGCCUUUGGGAUGUUGUUGGUGAAAAUCAUUUUCUUCCCCGAGUCCACUUCCAUCCUCUGAAGCUGCCGGUUUCUGAUGAGGCUGAGGAGACAAACGGGCCAGUCACCGCAGUGAUGCGAUGGGGACUCGCCAGGUCACGGAAGUAACAGAACCGGGGCACCGCGUGGCUUUCCUCCAGCCGCCUCAGGGCCUGCCACGAUGCCACCAGCUCCUCCAGCUCCUCCUGGACCACGGCAGCCCCUUCCG